rnacentral:rRNA from 1 species
GACGAACGCUGGCGGCGUGCUUAACACAUGCAAGUCGAACGGAAAGGCCCUGCUUUUGUGGGGUGCUCGAGUGGCGAACGGGUGAGUAACACGUGAGUAACCUGCCCUUGACUUUGGGAUAACUUCAGGAAACUGGGGCUAAUACCGGAUAGGAGCUCCUGCUGCAUGGUGGGGGUUGGAAAGUUUCGGCGGUUGGGGAUGGACUCGCGGCUUAUCAGCUUGUUGGUGGGGUAGUGGCUUACCAAGGCUUUGACGGGUAGCCGGCCUGAGAGGGUGACCGGGCACAUUGGGACUGAGAUACGGCCCAGAGUCCUACGGGAGGCAGCAGUGGGGAAUAUUGCACAAUGGGCGGAAGCCUGAUGCAGCAACGCCGCGUGCGGGAUGACGGCCUUCGGGUUGUAAACCGCUUUCGCCUGUGACGAAGCGUGAGUGACGGUAAUGGGUAAAGAAGCACCGGCUAACUACGUG